rnacentral:lncRNA from 1 species
UGCUUCGAGCUCUAGUAGACCUCCCAGCACUGGGCAGCAAGCAUUCUCAACAGGGUCUCCUAACCCAAUAUGCACCAAUCCUCCAAGCACAUCCACGCACAGUCCUAGCUUAAGUGCAUUAACCGGGCAUGUUGGUUGGGUAGUUGGUGGAGCAGGAGUGCUACCCCCACCACCACCCCCACCACCACCUCCACCUCCACCUCCACCACCGCCACCGCCACCUCCUCCACCGCCGCCUCCGCCUCCACCAGAAGGUGGGUAAGGAGAAGAAGGUGGUGGGUUUGUAACAGGAGGGUUGGUAACGGGAGGGUUUGGUAUUGGUGGGACAAUAACUGGUGGCCUUGGCGGCUUUUUGGAUGGUGGUUCUAC